rnacentral:rRNA from 1 species
GCAAGAUUAAAACUCAAAGGAAUAGACGGGGACCCGCACAAGUGGUGGAGCAUGUGGUUUAAUUCGAAGAUACGCGAAGAACCUUACCUAGCCUUGACAUAUUUUAGAACUCCGUAGAGAUACAGAGGUGCCUUCGGGAGCUAAUUUACAGGUGCUGCACGGCUGUCGUCAGCUCGUGUCGUGAGAUGUUGGGUUAAGUCCCGCAACGAGCGCAACCCUCGUCACUAGUUACUAACGGUUCGGCCGAGGACUCUAGUGAGACUGCCUUCGUAAGGAGGAGGAAGGUGAGGACGACGUCAAGUCAUCAUGGCCCUUACGGCUAGGGCAACACACGUGCUACAAUGGCCAGGACAGUGAGAAGCGAUACCGCGAGGUGGAGCAAAUCUAUAAACCUGGUCUCAGUUCGGAUUGUAGUCUGCAACUCGACUACAUGAAGCUGGAAUCACUAGUAAUCGUAGAUCAGCUAUGCUACGGUGAAUACGUUCCCGGGUCUUGUACUCACCGCCCGUCACACCAUGGGAGUUGAUUUCACCCGAAGCGGGGAAGCUAAACUGGCUACCCUCCACGGUGGAAUCAGCGACUGGGGUGAAGUCGUAACAAGGUA